CAGCAGCCGCGGUAAUACCGGCGGCCCGAGUGGCGGUCACUAUUAUUGGGCUUAAAGCGUCCGUAGCCGGGUUGGGAAGUCCUCCGGGAAAUCUGGCCGCUUAACGGUCAGAAUGCCGGAGGAUACUCCCAGCCUAGGUAGCGGGAGAGGCCGAGGGUAUUCCCGGAGUAGGGGUGAAAUCCUAUAAUCCCGGGAGGACCACCUGUGGCGAAGGCGCUCGGCUGGAACGCGUCCGACGGUGAGGGACGAAGGCCAGGGGAGCAAACCGGAUUAGAUACCCGGGUAGUCCUGGCUGUAAACGAUGCGGACUUUGUGUCGGACAAGCUAUGAGCUUGUCCGGUGCCGGAGGGAAACCGUUAAGUCCGCCGCCUGGGGAGUACGGCCGCAAGGCUGAAACUUAAAGGAAUUGGCGGG
rnacentral:rRNA from 1 species